rnacentral:rRNA from 1 species
GACGAACGCUGGCGGCGUGCUUAACACAUGCAAGUCGAACGGAAAGGCCCUGCUUUUGUGGGGUGCUCGAGUGGCGAACGGGUGAGUAACACGUGAGUAACCUGCCCUUGACUUUGGGAUAACUUCAGGAAACUGGGGCUAAUACCGGAUAGAAGCUCCUGCUGCAUGGUGGGGGUUGGAAAGUGUCGGCGGUUGGGGAUGGACUCGCGGCUUAUCAGCUUGUUGGUGGGGUAGUGGCUUACCAAGGGUUUGACGGGUAGCCGGCCUGAGAGGGUGACCGGCCACAUGGGGACUGAGAUACGCCCCAGACGCCUACGGGAGGCAGCAGUGGGGAAUAUUGUACAAUGGGCGGAAGCCUGAUGCAGCAACGCCGCGUGCGGGAUGACGGCCUUCGGGUUGUAAACCGCUGUCGCCGGUGACGAAGCGUGAGUGACGGUAAUGGGUAAAGAAGCACCGGCUAACUACGUG